ensembl:snRNA U4 U4 spliceosomal RNA
AGCUCAGUGCAGUGGCAAUAUUAUAAACAGUGAAGUUUACCCCAGGCACCAUUAUUGCUAAUUGGAAACGUUUCCCAAUACCUUGCCAUGAUGACUUGAAUAUAGUUGACACUGGAAAUUUUGUCAGUUUCCAUGGAGA